rnacentral:tRNA from 2 species
GCGGGCGUAGUUCAGUGGUAGAACGCCUGCUUCCCAAGCAGGAGGUCGCGGGUUCAAGUCCCGUCGCCCGCU